ensembl:lincRNA
CAGCCCAGACUGAGAUGAGCAAACUCCUGCUCCUCCUGCUGCUGGGGGCUUUUGUACUUGUGUUGAUCCAAGUUUUGAAUUGUGUGUGCGCACAUGCAUGUGCAGUUGUGCACAUGAGUGCAUGUGCCUAGAGAAUACAGAAGACGUUGGAUCCUUUGAAUUUGGAUCCUCUGAAUUUGGAUUCACAGGCAGUUGUGGGUUGCCUGACCUGAGUGCUGAGACUCAAACUCGAGUUCUCUGCAGGAGCAGUACCUGCUGCCCAAGCAAUAAUAUGCAUGUCCUGCAACAUGUUUGUGAAUGGCAAAUGUAUAGAAGGUGAGGGUAAAUGCACCAUGGAGGAAGGUGGUGCAUGCAGAACUGGAGAUAUCUAUCAUUUCCAUCCAAGAGGUGGGUUUCUCUACAACCAUACUAUACUAGAAUGUUCUAAAUCAUGUAAGGCUUCAGAAGAGAGUUAUUUUCAUCUGAAAAUUUCAACCUUUUGUUGCAAAAGUCAAGAUUUCUGCAAUAAAUAUAAAGGAAAG